rnacentral:rRNA from 1 species
CCUACGGGAGGCAGCAGUGAGGAAUAUUGGUCAAUGGCCGGAAGGCUGAACCAGCCAAGCCGCGUGAGGGACGAAGGUGCCAAGCAUUGUAAACUUCUUUUGUCAAGGGACAAAAUCCGGCUCGAGAGCCUGACCGAGGGUACUUGAAGAAAAAGCAUCGGCUAACUCCGUGCCAGCAGCCGCGGUAAUACGGAGGAUGCGAGCGUUAUCCGGAUUUAUUGGGUUUAAAGGGUGCGUAGGCGGGCUGUUAAGUCAGCGGUAAAAGCCCGGGGCUCAACCCCGGCGAGCCGUUGAAACUGGCGGUCUUGAGAUGUCUAGAGGUAGGCGGAAUGCGCAGUGUAGCGGUGAAAUGCAUAGAUAUUGCGCAGAACCCCGAUUGCGAAGGCAGCAUACCGGCGGCGAUCUGACGCUGAGGCACGAAAGCGUGGGUAUCGAACAGGAUUAGAUACCCUAGUAGUC